GGGCUCACUUUGGCAGCAUAUAUAUUAAAAUUGGAACAACAGAGGAGACUGGCAUGGCCCUGUUCAAGGAUGACACACGAAAAUUCAUGACACACUCCAUUUUUUU